GAUCCUGGCUCAGGAUGAACGCUGGCGGCGUGCCUAACACAUGCAAGUCGAGCGGAGUUAUGAGAGGUGCUUGCACCACUUUUAACUUAGCGGCGGACGGGUGAGUAACACGUGAGUAACCUGCCCUCGAGUGGGGAACAACAUCGAGAAAUCGGUGCUAAUACCGCAUAAUAUCUCUUUGCCGCAUGACAGAGAGAUCAAAGGAUUUAUUCGCUUGAGGAUGGACUCGCGUCCGAUUAGUUAGUUGGUGAGGUAACGGCCCACCAAGACAUCGAUCGGUAGCCGAACUGAGAGGUUGAUCGGCCACAUUGGGACUGAGACACGGCCCAGACUCCUACGGGAGGCAGCAGUGGGGAAUAUUGGGCAAUGGGCGAAAGCCUGACCCAGCAACGCCGCGUGAAGGAUGAAGGUCUUCGGAUUGUAAACUUCUUUGAUCAGGGACGAAACAAAUGACGGUACCUGAAGAACAAGCCACGGCUAACUACGUGCC
rnacentral:rRNA from 1 species